CAUGAGGGAACAGAGAGGUUGGCCCCACCAGAUGGCUUGCUUUAUGCCACACACAUCCUGAUCUUUGCUGUCCAUGUCUUUUUCCUAUAGUUUCCUCUGCCUGAAAAUAUUCAAGUACCCUCUAGAUGUCCAAUGUGAACUUCGCAUGGACAUGAGAAAAAUGAUCAUGAAGAUAUCUUUAUGCUUAUCACAAUUUACAGUUUAUCAAGAAGCUGAUCAACCACUUAGUUCUUAGAAAAUAAUUAGAGCCCUCUUUAUAAGACAUGCUGUGGAGGAGCUCUGGAAGUUUUGUGCGACUCAAGGAGUAAGCCGGUUGCAACUAUAACAAAAAGCUUGCCAAGGUUGAGAGCCAAACUGGCAAGGUUUUCUGUUGUGUCAGCAUUUAAGUAUUAUUGCAAUGUUAUCGUAUCACUGACGAAAGGGGAGCAUGGAAACAGCAGAGCCAAAUGCUAAGGAACAUUUGAAGGAAAGUGUGUACCUAGCUUCAAAAGAGAGUUUGGCAGAGUUGGACAGGGUUUAAUUUUAAUAGGAACCAGUCAAUUCAACUUUAAUUUGAUCAUAUGAAAUUGUGCUUUUAAAAUUUACUCCAGGAGAUCUGAAUUCCAACAGUCUUUCUGAAUCAGAUAGUGGUCAAGAAUAAUAAAGAAUUUAAGUCUGAAAACUUGCAACAUCAGAUGAAAACUUGUUUGUGUUAUAAAGAAAUUUCCACUGGUCAGAGUGGGAAGAACAAAUUUCUUUUGAAGGGAAAUGUGAGAGCAAUAAAUUUGAGAUUUUUGCCUCCUUCAUGUAUUAACAUGUCCAGGUAAAAGGCUAUGAAAAUUUGGACAUUUGUCAUGAGAAACCACAGUAAAGUUCAUGAUGUGAGCAAAGAUUGUACCAAUAUCAGAAAAGUCAACUGAGAGAAAAAGAUGAAAGCAAGAGCUGGAAGCAAAAUGAAUUAACCUAUCACUAACACUAAUAUGUCUACUGAGGGGGAAAGCUUACAGCAACAUUUUGAUCAUACCAUGCAACAUAUUAUGAAAGAUGUGCUGCACUAGAUUAGAAAUUUUCCUUCUUUUUUUUUUUUUUUUUUUUUUGGAACUAAGUGAAAACUAGAGGGGAGGAGGCAAAGAAACAUGCACUCUCCAGAAAUAACUUUCUCCUCCACUACUGAUGGUUUCUGUUGUUCUUCUCAGGUCAGCCGUGGACAUACACAUAAGUGAUUCAGGAGGGUUAAAAAUUGAAGUAGUGAGUGGAACAGCUUUACCCACGUUCACUAUUUGCCUCACUUGCUUUCCAAUUCCCUGUAGUUAGAGUCAAAUAUAUUCUCACCCAGUGAUCAGUGUUGGUUUUCAAGUGACACUCUGCAUGUGGAGCUCAGGAAAACCAGACACCUACAGGAAUGUGUUGAAGAAAUGGGAUAGCAAGGCCGCCAAGUGACUCAGUCUCUGCUUCCAUUCCCUGGGGUUUAUCAACUUUGUUAAUGGGGCAUAUGUGCUGAGAAUUAUGUAACAUUAAACACGAGGAACAUUUCCUGGAGACAUUUCUCAUUCUUCCUCAAAGCCAAUGCAUUGAUAAGUUUACUGUCCAGGUAAAACACCACCCUCUAGUGUACGUCUCUAAAUAAUGCUGCUGUGACUCCUCUGAUGAUAAUGAUGAUAACAGUCAAGAACAUUAGCAUAAGUAUUACAAUGAAGGUCAUUUCCCCCUAGUAUCCACAGGGCAAUACAUACAAGGACGGACUGCACAGUGGAGAUAUAACUCAUUGGUGUGUUCACAGUAACUGCUGAUUUUCAGUCAAAAGGAAGCAAUCAGUUGGCUUGAUGAAAAGAAUUCAACAAAGCUUAUUCAUUUCACAAGUGUUUAGUGAGAAUUUGGUGUGGGACAAAUGUUCUAUGACGCAAGAAGGAUGCUGACCACUUAAACUAUGAAAUAAAAGAAAAGUAUUCCAAGAGGUGAACAUUCUCUGAGAAAACCCAUGAUGCCUGCUCUUUAGGAAAACAACAUAACUUGCUACAGUCAAGGUGGCAUUCAGUUACCUGAAGACAGCUAAAAUGUACUAACAGAAACACAAAAUUUUCUCAGAAAUCCUCAAAAUAAUUGACAAAUAAAAUGUGACUCCCCCUAUCUCCUAAGGAGAAAAAAAUUAAUUUAUAAAAGUCUAGAUUAGAAGAUUUUUGAUGUUAUAUAGGCUGAUUCCAUGUGAAGAAAAAAAAAAGAGAUAGAGCAAUUAAAAGUAUUCU